rnacentral:lncRNA from 1 species
GGAGGCAAAGAAGAGGGCUUACAUAGAGUUAGUAGAGAGUUAGGAUAAUAAUGAGAAGUAGAAGAGUAUAUGAAAAAUAUAAUAUAUCUAGGAAGGAUGCAAAGUUAGCAGUUAUGUUAGAAAAACACAAGGCUUUAGAUGCAAGCAAAUAUAACUAGAGAAGAAAGGUGUGUAUAAGAAGUUAUACAUGUUAUGCAAGUUAGAUAUAGGAAAGUCAAAUAUUUAGGCCAAG